rnacentral:rRNA from 1 species
UACAGAGGUCCCAAGCGUUGUUCGGAUUCAUUGGGCGUAAAGGGUGCGUAGGCGGCGCGGUAAGUCGGGUGUGAAAUCUCGGAGCUUAACUCCGAAAUUGCAUUCGAUACUGCCGUGCUCGAGGACUGGAGAGGAGACUGGAAUUCAUGGUGUAGCAGUGAAAUGCGUAGAGAUCAUGAGGAAGACCAGUGGCGAAGGCGGGUCUCUGGACAGUUCCUGACACUGAGGCACGAAGGCCAGGGGAGCAAACGGG